GGUUAAGCGACUAAGCGUACACGGUGGAUGCCCUGGCAGUCAGAGGCGAUGAAGGACGUGCUAAUCUGCGAUAAGCGUCGGUAAGGUGAUAUGAACCGUUAUAACCGGCGAUUUCCGAAUGGGGAAACCCAGUGUGAUUCGUCACACUAUCAUUAACUGAAUCCAUAGGUUAAUGAGGCGAACCGGGGGAACUGAAACAUCUAAGUACCCCGAGGAAAAGAAAUCAACCGAGAUUCCCCCAGUAGCGGCGAGCGAACGGGGAGCAGCCCAGAGCCUGAAUCAGUGUGUGUGUUAGUGGAAGCGUCUGGAAAGGCGCGCGAUACAGGGUGACAGCCCCGUACACAAAAAUGCACAUGCUGUGAGCUCGAUGAGUAGGGCGGGACACGUGGUAUCCUGUCUGAAUAUGGGGGGACCAUCCUCCAAGGCUAAAUACUCCUGACUGACCGAUAGUGAACCAGUACCGUGAGGGAAAGGCGAAAAGAACCCCGGCGAGGGGAGUGAAAAAGAACCUGAAACCGUGUACGUACAAGCAGUGGGAGCACAGAGCAAUCUGUGUGACUGCGUACCUUUUGUAUAAUGGGUCAGCGACUUAUAUUCUGUAGCAAGGUUAACCGAAUAGGGGAGCCGAAGGGAAACCGAGUCUUAACUGGGCGUUAAGUUGCAGGGUAUAGACCCGAAACCCGGUGAUCUAGCCAUGGGCAGGUUGAAGGUUGGGUAACACUAACUGGAGGACCGAACCGACUAAUGUUGAAAAAUUAGCGGAUGACUUGUGGCUGGGGGUGAAAGGCCAAUCAAACCGGGAGAUAGCUGGUUCUCCCCGAAAGCUAUUUAGGUAGCGCCUCGUGAAUUCAUCUCCGGGGGUAGAGCACUGUUUCGGCAAGGGGGUCAUCCCGACUUACCAACCCGAUGCAAACUGCGAAUACCGGAGAAUGUUAUCACGGGAGACACACGGCGGGUGCUAACGUCCGUCGUGAAGAGGGAAACAACCCAGACCGCCAGCUAAGGUCCCAAAGUCAUGGUUAAGUGGGAAACGAUGUGGGAAGGCCCAGACAGCCAGGAUGUUGGCUUAGAAGCAGCCAUCAUUUAAAGAAAGCGUAAUAGCUCACUGGUCGAGUCGGCCUGCGCGGAAGAUGUAACGGGGCUAAACCAUGCACCGAAGCUGCGGCAGCGACGCUUAUGCGUUGUUGGGUAGGGGAGCGUUCUGUAAGCCUGCGAAGGUGUGCUGUGAGGCAUGCUGGAGGUAUCAGAAGUGCGAAUGCUGACAUAAGUAACGAUAAAGCGGGUGAAAAGCCCGCUCGCCGGAAGACCAAGGGUUCCUGUCCAACGUUAAUCGGGGCAGGGUGAGUCGACCCCUAAGGCGAGGCCGAAAGGCGUAGUCGAUGGGAAACAGGUUAAUAUUCCUGUACUUGGUGUUACUGCGAAGGGGGGACGGAGAAGGCUAUGUUGGCCGGGCGACGGUUGUCCCGGUUUAAGCGUGUAGGCUGGUUUUCCAGGCAAAUCCGGAAAAUCAAGGCUGAGGCGUGAUGACGAGGCACUACGGUGCUGAAGCAACAAAUGCCCUGCUUCCAGGAAAAGCCUCUAAGCAUCAGGUAACAUCAAAUCGUACCCCAAACCGACACAGGUGGUCAGGUAGAGAAUACCAAGGCGCUUGAGAGAACUCGGGUGAAGGAACUAGGCAAAAUGGUGCCGUAACUUCGGGAGAAGGCACGCUGAUAUGUAGGUGAAGUCCCUCGCGGAUGGAGCUGAAAUCAGUCGAAGAUACCAGCUGGCUGCAACUGUUUAUUAAAAACACAGCACUGUGCAAACACGAAAGUGGACGUAUACGGUGUGACGCCUGCCCGGUGCCGGAAGGUUAAUUGAUGGGGUCAGCGCAAGCGAAGCUCUUGAUCGAAGCCCCGGUAAACGGCGGCCGUAACUAUAACGGUCCUAAGGUAGCGAAAUUCCUUGUCGGGUAAGUUCCGACCUGCACGAAUGGCGUAAUGAUGGCCAGGCUGUCUCCACCCGAGACUCAGUGAAAUUGAACUCGCUGUGAAGAUGCAGUGUACCCGCGGCAAGACGGAAAGACCCCGUGAACCUUUACUAUAGCUUGACACUGAACAUUGAGCCUUGAUGUGUAGGAUAGGUGGGAGGCUUUGAAGUGUGGACGCCAGUCUGCAUGGAGCCGACCUUGAAAUACCACCCUUUAAUGUUUGAUGUUCUAACGUUGACCCGUGAUCCGGGUUGCGGACAGUGUCUGGUGGGUAGUUUGACUGGGGCGGUCUCCUCCUAAAGAGUAACGGAGGAGCACGAAGGUUGGCUAAUCCUGGUCGGACAUCAGGAGGUUAGUGCAAUGGCAUAAGCCAGCUUGACUGCGAGCGUGACGGCGCGAGCAGGUGCGAAAGCAGGUCAUAGUGAUCCGGUGGUUCUGAAUGGAAGGGCCAUCGCUCAACGGAUAAAAGGUACUCCGGGGAUAACAGGCUGAUACCGCCCAAGAGUUCAUAUCGACGGCGGUGUUUGGCACCUCGAUGUCGGCUCAUCACAUCCUGGGGCUGAAGUAGGUCCCAAGGGUAUGGCUGUUCGCCAUUUAAAGUGGUACGCGAGCUGGGUUUAGAACGUCGUGAGACAGUUCGGUCCCUAUCUGCCGUGGGCGCUGGAGAAUUGAGGGGGGCUGCUCCUAGUACGAGAGGACCGGAGUGGACGCAUCACUGGUGUUCGGGUUGUCAUGCCAAUGGCACUGCCCGGUAGCUAAAUGCGGAAGAGAUAAGUGCUGAAAGCAUCUAAGCACGAAACUUGCCCCGAGAUGAGUUCUCCCUGACUCCUUGAGAGUCCUGAAGGAACGUUGAAGACGACGACGUUGAUAGGCCGGGUGUGUAAGCGCAGCGAUGCGUUGAGCUAACCGGUACUAAUGAACCGUGAGGCUUAACCUU
rnacentral:rRNA from 1 species